rnacentral:sRNA from 1 species
AGUCCCGCAACGAGCGCAACCCACGUUUUUAGUUGCCAUCAUUAAGUUGGGCACUCUAGAGAGGCUGCCGGUGACAAACCGGAGGAAGGUGUGGAUGACGUCAAGUCAGCAUGCCCUUUACAUCCUGGGCUACACACGUACUACAAUGCUACGGACAGAGGGUUGCGAGCAUGCGAAUGCAAGCUAAUCCCGUAAACCGUGGCUCAGUUCAGAUUGCAGGCUGCAACUCGCCUGCAUGAAGGCGGAAUCGCUAGUAAUCGCAGGUCAGCAUACUGCGGUGAAUACGUUCCCGGGCCUUGUACACACCGCCCGUCACACCAUGGGAGUUGGCCACGCCCGAAGUCGUUACUCCAACCGUUCGCGGAGGAGGACGCCGAAGGCAGGGCUGAUGACUGGGGUGAAGUCGUAACAAGGUAGCCGUACCGGAAGGUGUGGCUGGAUCACCUCCUUUAAGGGAGACCUACCCGCUCUACAGUCGAAAGCAAACAGCGAAUAGAUUGAGAGUUGGUCAUCCCAAGGUCGUUCGGGUUGUGAGUGUAAGCUUCUAAACUAUUUGGUUCGGUAUAUGGGCUAUUAGCUCAGGUGGUUAGAGCGCACCCCUGAUAAGGGUGAGGUCCCUGGUUCGAAUCCAGGAUGGCCCACCUUAUUCCUCAGAGCCUACUAACUUAGCAAGAUAUUGGUUGUUAGGUAAAUAGAAGAAGAGGAUAAAUCAAGGGGGUUUAGCUCAGUUGGUAGAGCGCCUGCUUUGCACGCAGGAAGUCAGCGGUUCGAAUCCGCUAACCUCCACUGAGAUUGAUAGAUAAGAGCCGAGAGAAUGGAGAUAGGAUUCAGCAAUUCAUCUUGAUAGAACAAGAGAGCCUGCAGGAUGAGAAUCCAGUUAGAACCUUGAAAACUGCAUAGUAACUUGUCAGGUAGUAAGACAAUGACGACUAACGAGAGUUUAAUAACUUUGUAGUUAGAAACGAGUUGUCACUAUCACAGACACCAAUGUAAGCGAGACUCUAGGAAGUUAGCGAAAGCUAAAGACUAGAAGUCAAAAGUGGUCAAGCUACAAAGGGCUGAUGGUGGAUACCUWGGCACACAGAGGCGADG